rnacentral:rRNA from 1 species
AAUACGGGGGGAGCAAGCGUUGUUCGGAUUUACUGGGCGUAAAGGGCGCGUAGGCGGCGUGACAAGUCACUUGUGAAAUCUCCGGGCUUAACCCGGAGCGGCCAAGUGAUACUGUCGUGCUCGAGUGCGGAAGGGGCUACUGGAAUUCUCGGUGUAGCGGUGAAAUGCGUAGAUAUCGAGAGGAACACCUGCGGCGAAGGCGGGUUGCUGGGCUGACACUGACGCUGAGGCGCGAAAGCUAGGGGAGCGAACGGG